UACGGAGGGGGCUAGCGUUGUUCGGAAUUAUUGGGCGUAAAGGGCGCGUAGGCGGCCGAAUAAGUCUGACGUGAAAUCCCACGGCCCAACCGUGGAACUGCGUUUGAUACUGGAAGGCUUGAAUCCGGGAGAGGGAUGCGGAAUUCCAGGUGUAGCGGUGAAAUGCGUAGAUAUCUGGAGGAACACCGGUGGCGAAGGCGGCAUCCUGGACCGGCAUUGACGCUGAGGCGCGAAAGCCAGGGGAGCAAACGGG
rnacentral:rRNA from 1 species